rnacentral:pre_miRNA from 1 species
AACAUUCAUUGUUGUCGGUGGGUUGUGAGGACCGAGGCCAGACCCACCGGGGGAUGAAUGUCA